UUACCCUGCUUGAAUUCCACAGGAAACCAGGGGUGCUGGCAGGAGGCAGGCGGCGCCUGAUGCAGGAGCUAGCGGCCUGAGACUGUCCGCAACGCAGCUCCCUACGGCUCCCCUCCCCUAUUACUGUGCUCAUACAAGGGGCAAAAAUCAUCCCCUUCCUCCCGCAUCGCCUCUCCCUGCAGUGCCCCCUACAUGGCGUUCGUCUUCUCUCUCACGCUAGAUCAAGCGGAGCACUAUUCAUCCCCCAUCCUUUCCUUCUGGAUGAUGGCAGCGAGCACGCCUUGGCGAAGAAACCUCCCGCUCCUUUGCGGUGGGUUUGGACCCGAGCGCGGAGGAAGGCCGACUCGGAUCCGCUCGAUCUCGCCGCCGACCAGGCCCAACAGCAGGACGUUGCGGCGCAGGAAGCAUUCCCGUCGAUGUACUCCGAGCAGGCACCGCAAGAACAACCCUCACUGCCGCAGGUGUUCUUCAUCGCCACAUCCGACGUCCUUGAUUCAGUCAAUCGAUGCUGCUCUCAAAUCUAGUUCCCCUCCCAUCGCCGCUCCAUCUCAAAGCACAGAUCUUGACGUACUCCAUCAGGACUCGUGGGGAGCCAGAUCGCCCAUGGAGGAGACAGGGGAUGCGCAGAGACCGACGGGGAGGAGCCUUGCUGUCGAGGUAUGGGGACGCGGGCGGACGAUUUUGUGAGGGCGGCGGCGGGCGGCGCAACACGAGCAUGUGCUGGAAGUUUUACUUCUAUAGACAGAUUUUUAUUGGCUAAUGGGCCACACAUAGAAAUGAGAAGAGGUUAGAAUUAUUUUUGACCAUGCCUCAGCCCAUGGUCAAAGACAAAGGUGGAGUAAUUUUUGCUAUGCGGAGCCUAUAUUUCAAUUUGAGGGACCAAUUUGAUGCAUCGUUGGAGUUACCUAAUACGAACAAUAAUAUAUAUUUUCUUUAAAAUACAUUAUAUGUUUGUGACAUAAGGGUAUUGUCAUGCAUUAUCGUCAUAAUUAUUAUGUUAAGAAGAUUAUAACAAUUUAUUCUUACGACGACUCCUAUAUUAUCAUAGAAAAUUGUCACAAAAAUAAUGCUAGAGUAUGUUAUGACGGUUUUAAUGACAGAGGUUAAAUUUUCGUCACUAUACCAAGUCAUAUUCUGAAAAUCGUCAUAAACAAGGUGAUCUAAUGACAAAUUAUUGUAUUGUCAUCAACUAUUCGUCAUAGAAGGCCAAAAGUGUUGUAGUGCGUGGUGGGAAUUGGGAAAAGGGAAGCUGGGCUGGGCCGCUGAGCAAGUGAAGUGGGCCACUAGGCCGAAAUUUCAAUCCAGUCUGCCUGAUCGUUCCUAAAAUAUAAUAGACGAACAUGACGAUUGAUUAAUUGACGAAUACACAUCCAUUUUUAUUUCACCAUGCUCUGUUGGCACGUGCCAUUGAAGUUGUCAAUUCAAGCUAGCUAGCACGUACGCCAUCAUAGUUUCAAGCUACAUGAUGAUGCCUGGAGAUGAUUAACGGCGUGCAUAUAUGUCGCCGGAUGCCUGGAUUAUUGAAGAGAUCAAGGUCGAGGAUGACCGAGUUUGUACAGGCUCCAGGCGGCGCAUGGGUAUGUAGAGCAUAUAUAUAUAUAUAUAUAUAUAUAUAUAUAUAUAUAUAUAUAUAUAUAUGCUAGUUGCAACGGUAAGCUAGCGACAAAUUAAACAAGUUCAUGCAAAUCUUUCCAAGUGUAAUUAAAAUUCAGCAUGGUCUAUCACUGUUGAUAUAGCAUUUUCAUCUGAUCGGAUUGCACAUUUUUUCAAUCCAGUGACAAAUUAAAUGAGUUCACAUUUUUUCAAUCCACAGCCAGCCAGCUCACGUCGUUACAUUGCAUGUGAGUUGUAGCCCUUCAAUAAGUAACGUGUACAGUUUUAUAAUGAAUAAUACCGAGAAUAGAGUGAAUAAUCCUCACUAGUUAUUAGAUAUGUGUCUUCUCUUUUUGCAAAGGGUCACGAGUUCGAUUCCUACUCACGCUCGUUAAUUAUUUUUUCGCUAUAGGAUCAUGACAUUCAUUUACCGACAAACGAUCUGAUGCUACUGUUUCC